rnacentral:misc_RNA from 1 species
UACAGAGGGUGCAAGCGUUGCUCGGAAUCACUGGGCAUAAAGCGCGCGUAGGCGGCUUGAUAAGCCGGUUGUGAAAGCCCCGGGCUUGACUUGGGAAUUGCAUUCGAUACUGGGAAGCUAGAGUAUGGGAGAGGAUGGUAGAAUUCCAGGUGUAGCGGUGAAAUGCGUAGAGAUCUGGAGGAAUACCGAUGGCGAAGGCAGCCAUCUGGCCUAAUACUGACGCUGAGGUACGAAAGCAUGGGGAGCAAACAGG